rnacentral:tRNA from 1 species
AGUAAAAUGGUCGAGAUUUUAGGCAAUAGAUUGUAAAUCUAUUUAGGGAAAAUAAAAUUCCUUUUACUA